rnacentral:rRNA from 1 species
UUAAGCGACUAAGCGUACACGGUGGAUGCCCUGGCAGUCAGAGGCGAUGAAGGACGUGCUAAUCUGCGAUAAGCGUCGGUAAGGUGAUAUGAACCGUUAUAACCGGCGAUUUCCGAAUGGGGAAACCCAGUGUGAUUCGUCACACUAUCAUUAACUGAAUCCAUAGGUUAAUGAGGCGAACCGGGGGAACUGAAACAUCUAAGUACCCCGAGGAAAAGAAAUCAACCGAGAUUCCCCCAGUAGCGGCGAGCGAACGGGGAGCAGCCCAGAGCCUGAAUCAGUGUGUGUGUUAGUGGAAGCGUCUGGAAAGGCGCGCGAUACAGGGUGACAGCCCCGUACACAAAAAUGCACAUGCUGUGAGCUCGAUGAGUAGGGCGGGACACGUGGUAUCCUGUCUGAAUAUGGGGGGACCAUCCUCCAAGGCUAAAUACUCCUGACUGACCGAUAGUGAACCAGUACCGUGAGGGAAAGGCGAAAAGAACCCCGGCGAGGGGAGUGAAAAAGAACCUGAAACCGUGUACGUACAAGCAGUGGGAGCACGCUUAGGCGUGUGACUGCGUACCUUUUGUAUAAUGGGUCAGCGACUUAUAUUCUGUAGCAAGGUUAACCGAAUAGGGGAGCCGAAGGGAAACCGAGUCUUAACUGGGCGUUAAGUUGCAGGGUAUAGACCCGAAACCCGGUGAUCUAGCCAUGGGCAGGUUGAAGGUUGGGUAACACUAACUGGAGGACCGAACCGACUAAUGUUGAAAAAUUAGCGGAUGACUUGUGGCUGGGGGUGAAAGGCCAAUCAAACCGGGAGAUAGCUGGUUCUCCCCGAAAGCUAUUUAGGUAGCGCCUCGUGAAUUCAUCUCCGGGGGUAGAGCACUGUUUCGGCAAGGGGGUCAUCCCGACUUACCAACCCGAUGCAAACUGCGAAUACCGGAGAAUGUUAUCACGGGAGACACACGGCGGGUGCUAACGUCCGUCGUGAAGAGGGAAACAACCCAGACCGCCAGCUAAGGUCCCAAAGUCAUGGUUAAGUGGGAAACGAUGUGGGAAGGCCCAGACAGCCAGGAUGUUGGCUUAGAAGCAGCCAUCAUUUAAAGAAAGCGUAAUAGCUCACUGGUCGAGUCGGCCUGCGCGGAAGAUGUAACGGGGCUAAACCAUGCACCGAAGCUGCGGCAGCGACGCUUAUGCGUUGUUGGGUAGGGGAGCGUUCUGUAAGCCUGCGAAGGUGUGCUGUGAGGCAUGCUGGAGGUAUCAGAAGUGCGAAUGCUGACAUAAGUAACGAUAAAGCGGGUGAAAAGCCCGCUCGCCGGAAGACCAAGGGUUCCUGUCCAACGUUAAUCGGGGCAGGGUGAGUCGACCCCUAAGGCGAGGCCGAAAGGCGUAGUCGAUGGGAAACAGGUUAAUAUUCCUGUACUUGGUGUUACUGCGAAGGGGGGACGGAGAAGGCUAUGUUGGCCGGGCGACGGUUGUCCCGGUUUAAGCGUGUAGGCUGGUUUUCCAGGCAAAUCCGGAAAAUCAAGGCUGAGGCGUGAUGACGAGGCACUACGGUGCUGAAGCAACAAAUGCCCUGCUUCCAGGAAAAGCCUCUAAGCAUCAGGUAACAUCAAAUCGUACCCCAAACCGACACAGGUGGUCAGGUAGAGAAUACCAAGGCGCUUGAGAGAACUCGGGUGAAGGAACUAGGCAAAAUGGUGCCGUAACUUCGGGAGAAGGCACGCUGAUAUGUAGGUGAAGUCCCUCGCGGAUGGAGCUGAAAUCAGUCGAAGAUACCAGCUGGCUGCAACUGUUUAUUAAAAACACAGCACUGUGCAAACACGAAAGUGGACGUAUACGGUGUGACGCCUGCCCGGUGCCGGAAGGUUAAUUGAUGGGGUCAGCGCAAGCGAAGCUCUUGAUCGAAGCCCCGGUAAACGGCGGCCGUAACUAUAACGGUCCUAAGGUAGCGAAAUUCCUUGUCGGGUAAGUUCCGACCUGCACGAAUGGCGUAAUGAUGGCCAGGCUGUCUCCACCCGAGACUCAGUGAAAUUGAACUCGCUGUGAAGAUGCAGUGUACCCGCGGCAAGACGGAAAGACCCCGUGAACCUUUACUAUAGCUUGACACUGAACAUUGAGCCUUGAUGUGUAGGAUAGGUGGGAGGCUUUGAAGUGUGGACGCCAGUCUGCAUGGAGCCGACCUUGAAAUACCACCCUUUAAUGUUUGAUGUUCUAACGUGGACCCGUAAUCCGGGUUGCGGACAGUGUCUGGUGGGUAGUUUGACUGGGGCGGUCUCCUCCUAAAGAGUAACGGAGGAGCACGAAGGUUGGCUAAUCCUGGUCGGACAUCAGGAGGUUAGUGCAAUGGCAUAAGCCAGCUUGACUGCGAGCGUGACGGCGCGAGCAGGUGCGAAAGCAGGUCAUAGUGAUCCGGUGGUUCUGAAUGGAAGGGCCAUCGCUCAACGGAUAAAAGGUACUCCGGGGAUAACAGGCUGAUACCGCCCAAGAGUUCAUAUCGACGGCGGUGUUUGGCACCUCGAUGUCGGCUCAUCACAUCCUGGGGCUGAAGUAGGUCCCAAGGGUAUGGCUGUUCGCCAUUUAAAGUGGUACGCGAGCUGGGUUUAGAACGUCGUGAGACAGUUCGGUCCCUAUCUGCCGUGGGCGCUGGAGAACUGAGGGGGGCUGCUCCUAGUACGAGAGGACCGGAGUGGACGCAUCACUGGUGUUCGGGUUGUCAUGCCAAUGGCACUGCCCGGUAGCUAAAUGCGGAAGAGAUAAGUGCUGAAAGCAUCUAAGCACGAAACUUGCCCCGAGAUGAGUUCUCCCUGACUCCUUGAGAGUCCUGAAGGAACGUUGAAGACGACGACGUUGAUAGGCCGGGUGUGUAAGCGCAGCGAUGCGUUGAGCUAACCGGUACUAAUGAACCGUGAGGCUUAACCUU